rnacentral:lncRNA from 1 species
UUGGAAGCAGCCAUCAAAACAGCGGUGCUGGCUCACUGUCUGGCGGGAGAGAUGGAGGCAGAACAGAAUUUCUACCCUGGCCAAUAAGGAACCUAUAUUAGAAGGAAAAAUCAUAGUUAUAUCCUGCGUCUCCUGCUGGAGAAGAAGUCCUGGGUAGCAGUGUAAAUUUGAUAUUGAACUGUGUAUUUUUUCACUUCCUUCUACCUCUUCACUUCUCCUUAUCGAAACAGCAUGAGAGUCAUGCAUAUUGUUAUGCAGUGCAGGGUAGAGAUGGUCUGGGAAGGAGAGAGGCCAAUUCUUGGCUCUGGAGCUGUUGUGUGUACUUUUAGAUAUCUAUAGCUGAGAUUAAAGCCUUAAAAGCUACAGAUUUCAAUUGAAAGAGCCAGAGACUCGGGCAGGAAAAUAAAUUUCACGAAUUCUAAAAAUUUGGCAUUAAAUAGUAAGGCCUGAAGCAUCGAAAACUCAGUGCCUAGAAUUUGGACCAUCACCCCUAGACUGGGAAGCAUGCCUGAUGAAGUAAACGCGAUUUUGCUGGCCAGAGAAGAUAAGAGAAUCGGAGUGCAGUGUGACGAGAGCUCAGAUACUGCCCAGGUCCCUGAGAAGGACCUUGUGCAUCCUCCUGCUUUGUGCAGUACCAUAAACCUUGAAUAACACCAGGGGAACCAUACAAAGUGCCACUAGUGAUGCUGGGAGUGCUCCCAGGAAGCACAGAGAAGUCAUGACAUUACAAGGAAAAGCCAAAUUGCUUGCUAUGUACCAUAGAUUGAAGUCUGCAGCUGCUGUUGCCCACCAUCUCAAGAUAAAAUGAAUUCAAGGUAAGGACCAUUAUUAUAAAAAUAAAAAAAAAGGAAAUCAUAAAGUCAUUGCUGCAG